AAGCUCGUAGUUGAAUUUCGAAUGUGGCUGGGCGGUCCGCCUCACGGUGUGUACUGUCUGUCUGUGUUCUCUUUCUUGGUGAGCCGGCAUGCCCUUUACUGGGUGUGUUGGGGAACCAGGACGUUUACCUUGAGAAAAUUAGAGUGUUCAAAGCAGGCCUACGCCCGAAUACAUUAGCAUGGCAUAAUAAAAUAGGACGUGCGGUUCUAUUUUGUUGGUUUCUAGAGCCGCAGUAAUGAUUAAUAGGGAUAGUUGGG
rnacentral:rRNA from 1 species